UACCUACUCCCUCCGUCCGAAAAAGCCUGUCCCUCAAAUGGAUGUAUCUAGCAUCAAAUUAGUGCUAGAUACAUCCAUUUGAGGGACAAGCUUGGGACAAGCCUUUUUGGACGGAGGGAGUAGUGU
rfam:Hordeum vulgare subsp. vulgare, WGS project CAJW01000000 data, contig: morex_contig_1558578